GCCGAUAUGGCGGAAUUGGCAGACGCGCGCGACUCAAAAUCGCGUUCCGUGAGGAGUGUCGGUUCGACCCCGACUAUCGGUA
rnacentral:tRNA from 1 species